GACGAACGCUGGCGGCGUGCUUAACACAUGCAAGUCGAACGGAAAGGCCCUGCUUUUGUGGGGUUCUCGAUUGGCGAACGGGUGAGUAACACGCGAGUAUCCUGUCCCUGUCUUUGUGAUAACUCUACGAAACUGGGGCUAAUACCGGAUAGGAGCUCUUGCUGCACGGUGGGGGUUGGUAAGUUUCGGCUGUUGGGGAUGGACUCGCGGCUUACCCGCUUGUUGGUGAGGUAGUGGCUUACCAAGGCUUCGACGGGUAGCCGGCCUGAGAGGGUGGCCGGCCACAAUAGGACUGAGAGACGGCGCAGAAUGGUACGGGAGGCAACAGUCGGGAAUCUUACGCAAUAGGGGGGAGUGUGAUACAGCGGCGCCGCGUGCGGAAUGACGGGCUACGGGUUGUGAACCGAUUUCGCCUGAGACGAGGCGUGAGUGACGGUACUGGGUCAAAAAGCACCGGCUAACUACGUG
rnacentral:rRNA from 1 species